rnacentral:rRNA from 1 species
UACGGAGGAUGCGAGCGUUAUCCGGAUUUAUUGGGUUUAAAGGGUGCGUAGGCUGACUGUCAAGUCAGCGGUAAAAUUGAGAGGCUCAACCUCUUCCCGCCGUUGAAACUGGUGGUCUUGAGUGGAUGAGAAGUACGCGGAAUGCGUGGUGUAGCGGUGAAAUGCAUAGAUAUCACGCAGAACUCCGAUUGCGAAGGCAGCGUACCGGCAUCCAACUGACGCUGAGGCACGAAAGCGUGGGGAUCAAACAGG